UGGGGAAUUUUGGACAAUGGGCGAAAGCCUGAUCCAGCAAUGCCGCGUGUGUGAAGAAGGCCUUCGGGUUGUAAAGCACUUUUGUCCGGAAAGAAAUCCUUGGCUCUAAUACAGUCGGGGGAUGACGGUACCGGAAGAAUAAGCACCGGCUAACUACGUGCCAGCAGCCGCGGUAAUACGUAGGGUGCAAGCGUUAAUCGGAAUUACUGGGCGUAAAGCGUGCGCAGGCGGUUUGCUAAGACCGAUGUGAAAUCCCCGGGCUCAACCUGGGAACUGCAUUUGGGUGACUGGCAGGCUAGAGUAUGGCAGAGGGGGGUAGAAUUCCACGUGUAGCAGUGAAAUGCGUAGAGAUGUGGAGGAAUACCGAUGGCGAAGGCAGCCCCCUGGGCAAAUACUGACGCUCAUGCACGAAAGCGUGGGGAGCAAACAGGAUUA
rnacentral:rRNA from 1 species